rnacentral:rRNA from 1 species
GAAUAUUGGACAAUGGGGGGAACCCUGAUCCAGCCAUGCCGCGUGUGGGAAGAAGGCCUUUUGGUUGUAAAGCACUUUAAGCGAGGAGGAGGCUACUGAGAUUAAUACUCUAGGAUAGUGGACGUUACUCGCCGAAUACGCACCGGCUCACUCUGUGCCCGCAGCCACGGUAAUACAGAGGGUGCAAGCGUUAAUCGGAUUUACUGGGCGUAAAGCGCGCGUAGGUGGCCAAAUAAGUCAAAUGUGGAAUCCCCGAGCUUAACUUGGGAAUUGCAUUCGAUACUGGUUGGCUAGAGUAUGGGAGAGGAUGGUAGAAUUCCAGGUGUAGCGGUGAAAUGCGUAGAGAUCUGGAGGAAUACCGAUGGCGAAGGCAGCCAUCUGGCCUAAUACUGACACUGAGGUGCGAAAGCAUGGGGAGCAAACA